rnacentral:rRNA from 1 species
UACGGUAGGGGCUAGCGUUAUCCGGAAUUACUGGGCGUAAAGGGUGCGUAGGUGGUUUCUUAAGUCAGAGGUGAAAGGCUACGGCUCAACCGUAGUAAGCCUUUGAAACUGAGAAACUUGAGUGCAGGAGAGGAGAGUGGAAUUCCUAGUGUAGCGGUGAAAUGCAUAGAUAUCACGAGGAAUUCCGAUUGCGCAGGCAGCUUACUAAACUACUACUGACGCUCAGGCACGAAGGCGUGGGGAUCAAACAGGAUUAGAUACCCCUGUAGU